UCAAGUAAUGAAGUGCACAUGGUGGAUGCCUUGGCAGUCAGAGGCGAUGAAAGACGUGAUAGCCUGCGAUAAGCGUCGGUGAGGUGGCAAUAUCCUGUGACCCGGCGAUUUCUGAAUGGGGAAACCCACCUAAGAUAACUUAGGUAUCAUAAUUUAUUUUAUGAGGCGAACCGGGAGAAGUGAAACAUCUCAGUACCCCGAGGAAAAGACAUCAAUUGAGAUUCCCCAAGUAGCGGCGAGCGAACGGGGAGUAGCCGAUUAGACUUGUAGUAGCAAAAUGGCGUGGGAAAGCCAACCAUAGUAGGUGAUAGUCCUGUAUGCGAAACUGCAAUUUUAACAUAUUAAGUAGGGCGGAACACGAGAAAUUCUGUCUGAAGAUGGGGGGACCAUCCUCCAAGGCUAAAUACUCCUGACUGACCGAUAGUGAACCAGUACCGUGAGGGAAAGGCGAAAAGAACCCCUGUUAGGGGAGUGAAAUAGAACCUGAAACCGUGUGCAUACAAGCAGUCGGAGCGGACUUGUUCCGUGACGGCGUACCUUUUGUAUAAUGGGUCAGCGACUUAUAUUCUGUAGCAAGCUUAACCGUGUAGGGGAGGCGUAGGGAAACCGAGUCUUAAUAGGGCGUUUUAGUUGCAGGGUAUAGACCCGAAACCGAGUGAUCUAUCCAUGAGCAGGUUGAAAGUGCCGUAACAGGCACCGGAGGACCGAACCCACUCCCGUUGAAAAGGUAGGGGAUGACUUGUGGAUAGGGGUGAAAGGCUAAUCAAACUCGGUGAUAGCUGGUUCUCCCCGAAAGCUAUUUAGGUAGCGCCUCGGACGAAUACCUUGGGGGGUAGAGCACUGUUUCGGCUAGGGGGUCAUCCCGACUUACCAAACCGAUGCAAACUCCGAAUACCCAAGAGUACUAUCCGGGAGACAGACGGCGGGUGCUAACGUCCGUCGUCAAGAGGGAAACAACCCAGACCGCCAGCUAAGGCCCCAAAUUCCUAGUUAAGUGGGAAACGAUGUGGGAAGGCACAGACAGCUAGGAGGUUGGCUUAGAAGCAGCCACCCUUUAAAGAAAGCGUAAUAGCUCACUAGUCGAGUCGGCCUGCGCGGAAGAUGUAACGGGGCUCAAACUAGGAGCCGAAGCUGCGGAUUUAAUUGUUUCAAUUAAGUGGUAGGGGAGCGUUGUGUAAGCCUGUGAAGGUGUAUCGUAAGGUAUGCUGGAGGUAUCACAAGAGCGAAUGCUGACGUGAGUAACGACAAAACGGGUGAAAAGCCCGUUCGCCGGAAGACCAAGGGUUCCAGUCCAACGUUAAUCGGGGCUGGGUGAGUCGACCCCUAAGGCGAGGCCGAAAGGCGUAGUCGAUGGGAAAUCGGUUAAUAUUCCGAUACUUGUUUAUGAUGCGAUGGAGGGACGGAGAAGGUUAUGUCAGCCUGGCGUUGGUUGUCCAGGUGGAAGGAUGUAGGUAGGUUUAGUAGGCAAAUCCGCUAGACUAUUACUGAGAUCUGAUAGCAAGCCAGUUUACUGGCGAAGUGGCAAAUACCCUGCUUCCAGGAAAAGCUUCUAAGCGAUAGUCAUAAACAAAUCGUACCCGAAACCGACACAGGUGGUCAGGUAGAGAAUACCAAGGCGCUUGAGAGAACUCUGCUGAAGGAACUAGGCAAAAUGGUACCGUAACUUCGGGAGAAGGUACGCUGCUGAUGGUGAUAAGACUUGCUCUUUGAGCUGUUGGCAGUCGCAGAUACCAGGCUGCUGCAACUGUUUAUUAAAAACACAGCACUCUGCAAACACGAAAGUGGACGUAUAGGGUGUGAUGCCUGCCCGGUGCUGGAAGGUUAAUUGAUGGGGUUAGCGUAUGCGAAGCUCUUGAUCGAAGCCCCAGUAAACGGCGGCCGUAACUAUAACGGUCCUAAGGUAGCGAAAUUCCUUGUCGGGUAAGUUCCGACCUGCACGAAUGGCAUAAUGAUGGCAGCGCUGUCUCCAGCAGAGACUCAGUGAAAUCGAAAUCGCAGUGAAGAUGCUGUGUACCCGCGGCUAGACGGAAAGACCCCGUGAACCUUUACUACAGCUUUACAUUGAACUUUGACCUAACUUGUGUAGGAUAGGUGGGAGGCUUUGAAGUGGCGACGCCAGUUGCCAUGGAGCCAACCUUGAAAUACCACCCUGGUUAUGUUGGGGUUCUAACUUAGAUGUAACAACAUCAAGGACAAUGUAUGGUGGGUAGUUUGACUGGGGCGGUCUCCUCCUAAAGAGUAACGGAGGAGUACGAAGGUGCGCUCAGAACGGUCGGAAAUCGUUCAAAGAGUAUAAAGGCAAAAGCGCGCUUAACUGUGAGACCCACAAGUCGAGCAGGUACGAAAGUAGGUCUUAGUGAUCCGGUGGUUCUGUAUGGAAGGGCCAUCGCUCAACGGAUAAAAGGUACUCUGGGGAUAACAGGCUGAUACCGCCCAAGAGUUCAUAUCGACGGCGGUGUUUGGCACCUCGAUGUCGGCUCAUCUCAUCCUGGGGCUGAAGCAGGUCCCAAGGGUAUGGCUGUUCGCCAUUUAAAGAGGUACGCGAGCUGGGUUUAGAACGUCGUGAGACAGUUCGGUCCCUAUCUACCGUGGGCGUUGGAAAUUUGAGAGGAUCUGCUCCUAGUACGAGAGGACCAGAGUGGACGAACCUCUGGUGUUCCGGUUGUUACGCCAGUAGCACUGCCGGGUAGCUAUGUUCGGAUGGGAUAACCGCUGAAAGCAUCUAAGCGGGAAGCCCACCUCAAGAUAAGAUUUCCCUAAAGAGCCGUUGUAGACUACGACGUUGAUAGGUUGGGUGUGGAAGUGUAGUGAUACAUGUAGCUAACCAAUACUAAUUGCUCGUUUGGCUUGACCAU
rnacentral:rRNA from 1 species